AUUGAACGCUGGCGGCAGGCCUAACACAUGCAAGUCGGACGGUAGCACAGAGGAGCUUGCUCCUCGGGUGACGAGUGGCGGACGGGUGAGUAAUGUCUGGGGAUCUGCCCGAUAGAGGGGGAUAACCACUGGAAACGGUGGCUAAUACCGCAUAACGUCGCAAGACCAAAGAGGGGGACCUUCGGGCCUCUCACUAUCGGAUGAACCCAGAUGGGAUUAGCUAGUAGGCGGGGUAACGGCCCACCUAGGCGACGAUCCCUAGCUGGUCUGAGAGGAGGACCAGCCACACUGGAACUGCGACACGGUCCAGACUCCUACGGGAGGCAGCAGUGGGGAAUAUUGCACAAUGGGCGAAAGCCUGAUGCAGCCAUGCCGCGUGUAUGAAGAAGGCCUUCGGGUUGUAAAGUACUUUCAGCGGGGAGGAAGGCGGUGCGGUUAAUAACCGCGCCGAUUGACGUUACCCGCAGAAGAAGCACCGGCUAACUCCGUGCCAGCCGCCGCAGUAA
rnacentral:rRNA from 1 species